rnacentral:misc_RNA from 1 species
GAUGAAGAACGCAGCGAAAUGCGAUAAGUAAUGUGAAUUGCAGAAUUCAGUGAAUCAUCGAAUCUUUGAACGCACCUUGCGCUCCUUGGUAUUCCUCGGAGCAUGCCUGUUUGAGUAUCAUGAAACUCUCAAAGAAAAUCUUUUGUUAAUUCAAUUGGUUUGCUUUGGACUUGGAGGUUUUUUUUUGCAGAUUAAUUUCUGCUCCUCUUAAAUAUAUUAGCUGGAUCUCAGUAUAUGCUCGGUUCCACUCGGCGUGAUAAGUAUCACUCGCUGAGGACACUGGUAAAAAAGGUGGCCGGGAAAUACAGAUGAACCGCUUCAAACAGUCCAUUCACUUGGACAAUAUAAAGUUUUAAGAUCUGAUCUCAAAUCAGGUAGGACUACCCGCUGAACUUAAGCAUAUCAAUAGCGGAGGA